GCUCAUGACGAACGCUGGCGGCGUGCUUAACACAUGCAAGUCGAACGGAAAGGCCCUGCUUUUGUGGGGUGCUCGAGUGGCGAACGGGUGAGUAACACGUGAGUAACCUGCCCUUGACUUUGGGAUAACUUCAGGAAACUGGGGCUAAUACCGGAUAGGAGCUCCUGCUGCAUGGUGGGGGUUGGAAAGUUUCGGCGGUUGGGGAUGGACUCGCGGCUUAUCAGCUUGUUGGUGGGGUAGUGGCUUACCAAGGCUUUGACGGGUAGCCGGCCUGAGAGGGUGACCGGCCACAUUGGGACUGAGAUACGGCCCAGACUCCUACGGGAGGCAGCAGUGGGGAAUAUUGCACAAUGGGCGGAAGCCUGAUGCAGCAACGCCGCGUGCGGGAUGACGGCCUUCGGGUUGUAAACCGCUUUCGCCUGUGACGAAGCGUGAGUGACGGUAAUGGGUAAAGAAGCACCGGCUAACUACGUGCCAGCAGCCGCGGUGAUACGUAGGGUGCGAGCGUUGUCCGGAUUUAUUGGGCGUAAAGGGCUCGUAGGUGGUUGAUCGCGUCGGAAGUGUAAUCUUGGGGCUUAACCCUGAGCGUGCUUUCGAUACGGGUUGACUUGAGGAAGGUAGGGGAGAAUGGAAUUCCUGGUGGAGCGGUGGAAUGCGCAGAUAUCAGGAGGAACACCAGUGGCGAAGGCGGUUCUCUGGGCCUUUCCUGACGCUGAGGAGCGAAAGCGUGGGGAGCGAACAGGCUUAGAUACCCUGGUAGUCCACGCUGUNAACGGUGGGUACUAGGUGUGGGGUCCAUUCCACGGGUUCCGUGCCGUAGCUAACGCUUUAAGUACCCCGCCUGGGGAGUACGGCCGCAAGGCUAAAACU
rnacentral:rRNA from 1 species